rnacentral:rRNA from 1 species
UACGGAGGGUGCGAGCGUUGUUCGGAAUCACUGGGCGUAAAGGGCGUGUAGGCGGUCCGCUAAGUCUGAUGUGAAAGCCCGGGGCUCACCCCCGGAAGUGCAUUGGAAACUGGCGGACUCGAGUCCCGGAGAGGAGAGUGGAAUUCCUGGUGUAGCGGUGAAAUGCGUAGAUAUCAGGAGGAACACCGGUGGCGAAGGCAGUCCCCUGGGCCUGUACUGACGCUCAUGCACGAAAGCGUGGGGAGCAAACAGG